CCCUUAGAUGUCCUGGGCCGCACGCGCGCUACACUGAGUGUCUGAGAUACGGGUCUGCCUGGUCCGGCAAGGUCUAGGUAAUCGCUAAAAGACACAUCAUGCUUGGGAUAGAUUAUUGCAAAUAUUAAUCUUGAGCGAGGAAUUCCUAGUAAGCGCAAGUCAACAGCUUGCGUUGAUUACGUCCCUGCCCUUUGUACACACCGCCCGUCGCUACUACUGAUUGGAUGUUUAAGCGAGGUUCUCGAUCUGCUAGCGACUUAGCUUCGGUGAGGUCGCAGUGUGGGAAGUGAACCUAGCUUUGGUGUCUAGAGGAAGUAAAAGUCGUAACA
rnacentral:rRNA from 1 species